UGGGGAAUUUUGGACAAUGGGCGCAAGCCUGAUCCAGCCAUUCCGCGUGCAGGAUGAAGGCCCUCGGGUUGUAAGCUGCUUUUGUACGGAACGAAACGACUCUCUCUAAUACAGGGGGUUAAUGACGGUACCGUAAGAAUAAGCACCGGCUAACUACGUGCCAGCAGCCGCGGUAAUACGUAGGGUGCAAGCGUUAAUCGGAAUUACUGGGCGUAAAGCGUGCGCAGGCGGUGAUGUAAGACAGAUGUGAAAUCCCCGGGCUCAACCUGGGAACUGCAUUUUGUGACUGCAUCGCUGGAGUGCGGCAGAGGGGGAUGGAAUUCCGCGUGUAGCAGUGAAAUGCGUAGAUAUGCGGAGGAACACCGAUGGCGAAGGCAAUCCCCUGGGCCUGCACUGACGCUCAUGCACGAAAGCGUGGGGAGCAAAACAGGAUUAGAUACCCUGGUAGUCCACGCCCUAAACGAUGUCAACUGGUUGUUGGUCCUUCACUGGAUCAGUAACGAAGCUAACGCGUGAAGUUGACCGCCUGGGGAGUACGGCCGCAAGGUUGAAACUCAAAUGAAUUGACGGGG
rnacentral:rRNA from 1 species